rnacentral:lncRNA from 1 species
CGUCUCUUCACCAUUGAUCCGUCGAUCACCUUCAUACACAAACGACGCCUGCUUCUGUCAACCACCACCACAACUCGCUGAACACCAUCCACAAAACACGCCACCAAGCUCGUCGAAGAACCAGCGGCAAUACCGCCCCCAACUUCCCCAAAUCACAUGAAAAUUUCAGUUUCUUGUUGAUUCCAUUAUUUCUCAAAUCCAAAGGAAAAAAUCUGUUUCCUCUUCUCGAUUUCAAUCACAGUUUUUUCAGAAAUGGGGUUUUGAUUGGAGUCAUUUUGGGUUCGAAUUGAAGCAGUGGUUGAGGCCCGUUCGGGGUUCGGUUCGCGUUUCUGUUCGGAGCUAGUUCGUUCGAGUUCCGUUCGUCUCAAAUUUUGGCUUACCUUGCUUAUGUAAGUGCUGAAAAUUUCAAUUAAUUGAAGUUUUAAUUUCAGGCUUUCAAGUUAUAGUGUCUAAGUUGAAGUUUCUUUUCUGUCCGAAUAAUCCAUACUGUAUUUGGGAUCUGUUGGUUUGCUUAGAGAAAUUCAAAGAGGAGGAGAGGCAGAAAGGUUCCAGGUUUCUUAGGGGAUAUUAUUGCUUUUCAAUUUUCUCAUCCGAUUUUAUGUUGGCAUUCAGAUUUCGACCAAAAAAUAUGUAUAUAUAAAGGAGAAUUCUGUUUUGAAUCAAUUAGGAAAGAUAAAAUAUACCAAAUAUUUCUUUUUCUUCUAUUCAAUUUCGAAACUUUGGUUUUAGAUGGAGUUCGAAUGAGGCUGAAUCAGGCGAGAUCUGCCCGAAUCUUCCGGAAAAAGGUUCACCAUUGAUUUUGGAUAGUAUAAAUAUGGUGAUUACAUGUUUGACAUGUUGGUUGUUUGCUGGUUUUAAGAACUUAAAGAAGAUUUUUAGGUGUUCUAGAUUAUAAUUUAAGUUUAG